GGUCUCAAUACCCUCUGGUCUUGGUAUUGUCUUGGUCUUGGUUUAGGCGGUCUUGAAUACAAGUCUACCUCUUUGCCCCAUCACCAGGUUGCUCACCUGGGCCUUUAGUCUCAGAUGUCCACUGGAAACUACCUAUUAACUAGAACUGUCCAUGUCAGUGUUUGGUAUGUAACCAGAACAAUGUUUGGUUUGGUUUUUUGCUUCUUUACAUUCUGGUUUUUGUGCCAAAUGAAGGCUAGCAGUGGAUUCAUAAGUCCUGUUGUACAAACAUUCAUAUUAAGUAAUUUCAACACCCAGUUUGAUGCACAUUCAGAACACUGCAGUGGCAGAAUUAACACAAUAAUCCUCCAAACUCUCCAAAUAAAGUAAUAACUCCAGGUCAUAGUGGUAGAAACACAGCGCCACUGGUCAUAUCAACUUUGACUGUAUGGUGCAAGUUACCAAAGAAAAAGUGAUAAAACCCAUAAAUCAUCACAUAAACAAAUAAACCUGGAGCCUCAGCGGGAAAGUAAAAUCAUAUAAAUGCUGAUCUGCAGUCAUAUGACUUCUUGUAACUGCUGGAGAGAAACUGAAAGUGAAAAAAACAGAAUAAAUAAAACAGUCUUGGGGACGUUCCCUGGUGUGUGCAGAGGUCAGUGUCUGUGUUUACUGCUCAAACCUGAGAACGAUAACAGCUGGGAUUUGUUUGACUUCUACAGUUGAGCAUGUUGUUGCUUGCAGGGCAACAUCUAAAUUCAUUUUUCCUCUUUUUUUGUGCAGGUAAUGAAGCUGAGUGGGAAGAAGCUGGGAUGAGAAUCAGCACCUCCAAGUCUGAGGCCAUGGUUCUCAGCUGGAAAUGGGUGGAAUCAGCACAUGUGGUCAGGGAUGAGCUGCUGCCCCGAGUGGAGGACUUCAAGUAUCUCGAGGACUUGUUCAUGAGUGAUGGGGGACCGGAGCGAGAGAUUGACAGGCAGUUUGGUGCUUUACUGGUUUGGUGUGGUGAAGAGAGCUGAGUAUAAAAGUGAAGCUGGUGAUUUACAGGUUUAUCUAUAUUCUUCCCCUCACCCACGGUCAUGAGCUGUGGGUAGUGACUGUGAGAGUUAGACUGUGGAUACAAGCCACAGAGUUUCGUCUGAAGGGUGAGGGCUCAGAGGUUGGAGGUUUUUAGAGUCCCAGGGGAAAUCCUGUGUUUAAAGUACUUUCACUAUCACUUUCUCUUCAGACAUUUAGAAUACAUCACAUGAGUUACUGUUAAAUAAUUUGUAAAAGCUGAGCAUUACAUGGUCAGUUUAUGUCAUUAUUCAGUUCGUGUAGCCAAUGUUGCACCUUUUAAUAUUUUACUGAAUAUGAAAGACUUGCGUGUAACUGUAAAACAUAUUAUUAUUAUUAUUGAUAUAAACCUGUGGAUUUUUCUUCCUUCCUGCCUCGUUAUUCAUCGUAUAAUGAUCAUGUAAAAUUUGAUUCUUUAUAAUACUUUAUAAUUCUUUAUAAUCCUAUUUCUUCAACAUUUACACCUGAGGCAUUUCACAUCUGAAAAAGAUUUCCUGUGUCGUUGUAGUGGAACAUAACAUGUCACAGAAAAUAAACAAUUAGAUUUAAAAAUAUAAUCCAAGAUUAUUUGUGAACCAAAAUGUUCCAGUUAAUCUGAAACACAGAAAUAACACUCAUCACGAUGCAUGGCAGAUCAGUUUAGAAAUAAUUUAUUAAACAUUAAUCAUUAUAUAUUCCGAGCUGAGAAGCGGCUAUUCAUUUAUGCGUGCGAGUGAGCGAACUCCAUGUAAAAGCCAUAAAAUGAAGAAAUGAUGAGAGAAGGAAAGUCGGAGAUGCCAGACUUAAAUCAAAAUGAUGCGUUUUCUCUUCUUCGCGUAUUUAUAAUUCAGUCCAUCCUGUUCAUUUGACGUGGUCACAUGAAUUAAUGAUGGAAUCCUUCACCCUCCGUGAACCUUCCUCACCACCUGCA